rnacentral:rRNA from 1 species
UCCGACCUGCACGAAUGGCGUAAUGAUGGCCAGGCUGUCUCCACCCGAGACUCAGUGAAAUUGAACUCGCUGUGAAGAUGCAGUGUACCCGCGGCAAGACGGAAAGACCCCGUGAACCUUUACUAUAGCUUGACACUGAACAUUGAGCCUUGAUGUGUAGGAUAGGUGGGAGGCUUUGAAGUGUGGACGCCAGUCUGCAUGGAGCCGACCUUGAAAUACCACCCUUUAAUGUUUGAUGUUCUAACGUUGGCCCGUUAUCCGGGUUGCGGACAGUGUCUGGUGGGUAGUUUGACUGGGGCGGUCUCCUCCUAAAGAGUAACGGAGGAGCACGAAGGUUGGCUAAUCCUGGUCGGACAUCAGGAGGUUAGUGCAAUGGCAUAAGCCAGCUUGACUGCGAGCGUGACGGCGCGAGCAGGUGCGAAAGCAGGUCAUAGUGAUCCGGUGGUUCUGAAUGGAAGGGCCAUCGCUCAACGGAUAAAAGGUACUCCGGGGAUAACAGGCUGAUACCGCCCAAGAGUUCAUAUCGACGGCGGUGUUUGGCACCUCGAUGUCGGCUCAUCACAUCCUGGGGCUGAAGUAGGUCCCAAGGGUAUGGCUGUUCGCCAUUUAAAGUGGUACGCGAGCUGGGUUUAGAACGUCGUGAGACAGUUCGGUCCCUAUCUGCCGUGGGCGCUGGAGAACUGAGGGGGGCUGCUCCUAGUACGAGAGGACCGGAGUGGACGCAUCACUGGUGUUCGGGUUGUCAUGCCAAUGGCACUGCCCGGUAGCUAAAUGCGGAAGAGAUAAGUGCUGAAAGCAUCUAAGCACGAAACUUGCCCCGAGAUGAGUUCUCCCUGACUCCCUGAGAGUCCUGAAGGAACGUUGAAGA